UACAGAGGUCCCAAGCGUUGUUCGGAUUCACUGGGCGUAAAGGGUGCGUAGGUGGUUAGGUAAGUCCGAUGUGAAAUCUCCAGGCUCAACCUGGAAAUGGCAUUGGAUACUAUCUAGCUUGAGGAGUGGAGGGGGGACUGGAAUUCUCGGUGUAGCAGUGAAAUGCGUAGAUAUCGAGAGGAACACCAGUGGCGAAGGCGGCCCCCUGGGCCGGCCCUGACACUGAGACGCGAAGGCGUGGGGAGCGAACGGG
rnacentral:rRNA from 1 species